UGGGGAAUAUUGCACAAUGGGCGCAAGCCUGAUGCAGCCAUGCCGCGUGUAUGAAGAAGGCCUUGGGUUGUAAAGUACUUUCAGCGGGGAGGAAGGCGGUGAGGUUAAUAACCUCGCCGAUUGACGUUACCCGCAGAAGAAGCACCGGCUAACUCCGUGCCAG
rnacentral:rRNA from 1 species